ACGUAAUGAAGGUAGUCAAUUUUCUAAAAAUCGGAUACCGAUUGUAGCGUGGGCAGACCAUACUAAGUGCUACCAUUUCUUUUCUUCACAAACCAACACCCAACACUCAAACCCAAACCCAAAUAAAAAGAAACCUACAACAAACACACACCAAACCCAAAUACAAUAUUCCUACAAAUAAAACCUAACACCCCUAACCCAAAUAAAAAAAAUCCAAAAUCCAAAACCCAAACCCAAAACAAACCCAAUUCCUCAACACCUACACAAGCCCAACAAAACCCAAAAAAAAAUGGAAAGAAAAGAAAAAAAAAGAAAAAAGAAAAAGAAAACCCAAAACCCUAACUUCUACCCUUCCCUAUAGUGCCACUGCCAUCGCCGCAUAUCACCGCCACGCCAUUCGAUCGACGAUUCCUCUUCAAACCCUCGCACCACUGCACUGAGUCGACACCAAAUAACGUCC
rnacentral:lncRNA from 1 species